GAAGUGUGGACGCCAGUCUGCAUGGAGCCGACCUUGAAAUACCACCCUUUAAUGUUUGAUGUUCUAACGUUGACCCGUAAUCCGGGUUGCGGACAGUGUCUGGUGGGUAGUUUGACUGGGGCGGUCUCCUCCUAAAGAGUAACGGAGGAGCACGAAGGUUGGCUAAUCCUGGUCGGACAUCAGGAGGUUAGUGCAAUGGCAUAAGCCAGCUUGACUGCGAGCGUGACGGCGCGAGCAGGUGCGAAAGCAGGUCAUAGUGAUCCGGUGGUUCUGAAUGGAAGGGCCAUCGCUCAACGGAUAAAAGGUACUCCGGGGAUAACAGGCUGAUACCGCCCAAGAGUUCAUAUCGACGGCGGUGUUUGGCACCUCGAUGUCGGCUCAUCACAUCCUGGGGCUGAAGUAGGUCCCAAGGGUAUGGCUGUUCGCCAUUUAAAGUGGUACGCGAGCUGGGUUUAGAACGUCGUGAGACAGUUCGGUCCCUAUCUGCCGUGGGCGCUGGAGAACUGAGGGGGGCUGCUCCUAGUACGAGAGGACCGGAGUGGACGCAUCACUGGUGUUCGGGU
rnacentral:rRNA from 1 species